UCAAUGGUCCAUUCUGCUCAUGAAAUGGCUCCAUGAGAGUGGCUGGCUUUGGUGGCUUUCGUCUGCGAAUGACGAUUAUCACCAUCAACAAGAGCAGCAGGAGCAUCCGAUUUCUCUACAACUCCCAUCACUCAAUUAGUCCGCAGCUUCAACACCAUGAGGAACCAACUGAGUUGUUAAGGCUUUCUCUGUCUUCAGAACCAAAAAAACAUCGUGGCGCAGUUAAAGGUGAUCAAGACCAGUGGCUCUCUUUGAACUCUGAAGCAUCCACUUCAGUGUUUAGACAAUAAUAUCAUUUAGUUGAGACACAGAGGUUUAAAAUCCCACCUCCUAUUUAGAAAGAUUUCAACAUUUCUCAGGUUUGGGUAUGACCCUGUUUUGAGGCUGUCUUCAUCUGCUAUUUACUCAUCAAUCUUGGGGACUAUAGAUUUUGCACUUGGAAAGGUUACAGACUCUGGCCAAGUUGGCUACAUGGUGAUUGUUGAUCUCCUGAAUUUGAGAUAACCGCAAAUGAGCUAGAGGCAAAGAAGUUCUAGCCUGGCUUUGGCUAAGAAUCUUGCUUCAAGGUGAUGCGGCAGGUGUGUGCUGACCUUCUUGAGGAAAAUGGAACUGGUUUUCAUUGUUUCAAAGGAUGGAAUUGAUACUGUGACAGUGGUAUGCUGAUACGAAUGCUGAGCAAUAAGCUACCGAAAGGCAGACAUUUGAUUGGGGAUAGUGUGGUUUACAAUGUGGGUGUUUGGUUACCCCAGGAGUUUCAGCCGCAGCUAGAAGUUACCCCUAUAAUUAAGUAUGUUUCGGAUCCUCAGAUUGUGUUGGGCCACUAAAUUGUGGUGAAUAAGUCACAUAUAUAUGCUAUGGAUUGAAGCAGGGGAAUAUUCGGGUUUUGAAUAUACACACUGCAUUGAGUUUGUUGUUUCAAGCUGAUACACAGAUGAAGAAGGUGCGCCACAAAUCACAGGAAAGAUUGUUAUGGCCAUUCAAAUAGUUGGUGAGGGGGAAGCUGUUCAUCCACGAGUUUGGCGGCACUGUCAUAAACAAGAGGUUUUGGUUGUUCAUGUUGGGAAGCGUUUUUACAAAUUGUUACUACUAAAGUUGCAAAGGGUGAAGUCCCUUCUGCUGAGGAUCCUAUUAAAUGUCCUGUUGAAAAACUUAUUGAUGGGGUCCAAAUAUUUGGUGGUAAACAUGAUGGAGAGGUGACAGAUUUAUUAAUGUGCCAAUGGAUGACCACCCGGUUGGUUUCUGCUUCUAUGGAUGGAACUAAGGACGGCUUUUUGUCUGGAAAAUUUCUGAAGGUCUAGACGAAGAAGGUACACCACAAAUCACAAGAAAGAUUGUUAUGGCCAUUCAACUAGUUGGUUAGGGGGAAGCUGUUCAUCCACAAGUUUGUUGGCACUGUCAUAAACAACAGGUUUUGGUUGUUCGAGUUGGGAAG
rnacentral:lncRNA from 1 species